UCUCUCCUUCCCCAUCAAGACUCGCUUCGCCCAAUCCCCGCCUCUUCGUCCGUCUCCACAGGCCAUCGUCCGCCGCCGCCGUCGCCCGUCAUUGUCUUCCUCACUGCCUGCUUGCCACAUAGCAAUGGCUUUCCUCGCUGUCGCUGCCGCUGCUGUGUUCGGUUAGGGGGUUCCCACGCUCACGGUGAAGAGGCUAUGGCAAAGGGCAUGCAGAGGAGCAGCAGGGCUCACUGAGGGGGAGAGGGCGUUACAAAGGGGGGCCGUGAAGGAGGAGGGGCCGCGGCAGCAGGAGCUCGCGAUGGCGGAGAAGAUUCCGUGGCGGUGAAGCGGAGCUUGCAUAUGUGCGGACCGCGCUCCGCCGGCAAGGUUGCGCCCACGUUGCUGAAGUAGCAGGGGAAGCCGAAGGAGGGGGCGCGGUAGCCGGCGGGGCGACCCACGUCGCUGAAGUAGCAGGGGAAGCCGAACGAGGGCGCACGGCAUCCUGUGGCCACGAUAGCCGGUGGGGCGACGCGGCAUCGCUGACUCUGCAUCCACCGCCGUCCCUUUGAGUCUCGCGUGGUGGCCGGCAGGGUGACAGGAGGAGGGGCACGGGUUGCUGCUCAUGGCACUGCUGCGCCCAGGCUCUUCCUCCUCGACAAGUCUAGGUCAUUCCUCAUCUCAUCUGACCACACUCAUGCCACAUAACCUGCUACAGCCGCGCGCUGUGUGUGGCAAGGGAUUACUUCUCCUGUGCAGUAAUACCCUUUUUGGAGUGUCCCAUGUUUGCAACUAUCCUUAUCUGCAGAGAAAAACAAAGGGACAAACAAAGUCCGGAUGCAAGGUGCAAGGCAGGAAAGGCGGUAGUAGGUCGAGAGAAGUGUAGAAGAGGGUUCCUCCAGGCUCCAUCCAUGUACGGUGUCGGUCCGAUGCCUCGGGCAUGUGGCAAUGUCGGCGACCAGCGAGGAAGAUGCUGGUGUACAUCCUUUGGAAUAAAGUUGAAGUAAGCUCUAAGCACCACGGAGCCUACCACGCACGCCGUCUUGUUUAUAGUGCAGAUAAUCUAUAAACUACUGUUUAGGAAAGGAUUUAUAGUGUCUCUGAUAUAACGGUUCAGAAUAAAUAUCCAAUGAAGAUGAUGCGUGACGAACAGCAUGGUGAUGAUCCAUAAAGCCCUACAUUGUUCUUUUGCUCGCUGGUGACUUUACUACUUUCUGAUUGCAUGCCAAGUAGCCGAGCAGACACUUUCUUCGUAGAUUAGUUGUUUAGUUUCAUAUACUGAAUGCUUUGUCGAGUGCGGUGUCAUUGCAACAGCAGAGCUCAAACAUCCUUCAAAGUAUGUCUCAGGUUUAAGAAUGCUAAGCCCAGCAGUCUAUAAUGCAUAUAUAAAAGAUGGAAACUACACAAUCAUAUCCUUAGAGUGCAUAAAUAUCAUCUAUGCUGUUGGGAAUUAUAAUGAAAUACUGAUAACUGAAUGAAUACUCUUGUUAACUCACCGGGUGAUGGAAUUAAAUUGAAGAGACAUAUUCUGAAAAUCAAAAUUAUUUCUGAGUUUGUAUUCUACUCGUACACAUCUUCAUAUCCACUAGCACAUUCAAAUUCCAUAUAUGCAUGGAGUAGCAGUACGAUUGGUCAAAAUAAAAAGACAGGAUGCUGCUUUGCAGAAAGUGGUCGUCAAGUAAUUAUUCUGCUGUUGGAAAUCGCCCACGAUCGAUCACAAUUCACAUCAAGUCGACGAACAUGACACACAAAAACUUUUGGCCAAAGGCAUGUGCCAUGUCUUGUUCUUCUCUUUAUUUCUUUUCUAUUUUCUCCACACGAUUACAAAACUCAUGCAGCUUCAUGUGUGUGUGUGUGUCUAUACACACACGCGCGCGCGAAGCCAUGAGCCCAUGACCCAAUAACUGAACCGAGUAGUGGAAUAUUGUUGGUGCAAAUAAAUGUUCUUUGAGUUUAGAUGAUGCAUGGAUAAAUAACUCUAUGUGAUGAUUUAUUUGCCGGCACUGAUUACAUUCCCCAUGCAUUGUUGACGUUCCCACCCUUUGCCCUGCUAAUUCACGAAUUAGGUUUCAGACCCGAUAGCUUGUUAUGCUGUGUUGCAAUUAAACAGAAGUAUGGAUCUAGGAAAUUCAUGACUAGCUAUUGGUCUUCCUAUCAGCAGUAGAGAGAUGCCUGGUCAGCAGAUAUAUGUGUCUGAAACCUUUGCAUGGUGUACAUGCUAUACCAUGUAAUAAAUAAAAGGUAGUUUAAUUUUUUAUUAUGCCGCUAAGAUACCCAAUCAGACUGAUUAUACAUACACCCAAAACAAUAUAUUAUAGUCUGAACUAUGAAACUAUACUCAAGAGGAAAGGUUAUACAUCAAUCCUUUCUGCAGAUUUCUUAUCAGCUCAUUCUGUCAUGUAUGAUUAUUUUAUGCCACGCAAAUUGCUAGAUAUAUUCAUACUCUCCGUUUAACCAUAACAUCAAGAACACCCAAAAAUUAGCAAUCCUAACAGGUCUGCUGCUUGCGGGCAGAAAGUAACUAUCAAGGAAGAAGAGUUAGAUGCUAGCCACAUACCUGUCGAAGAUAUUGGCGGUAAGCAUGUGUCGUACAGGUUAUUUAUGCUUUCCCUUAAGCCAUUCUUAGCCAACCCCGUGCAGUCCAUGCGCUAUGCAUAAGAGCCACAGACCGCUCAAGCAGCGUCGAAGCCUGCCUGUGACUGUUCCAAAUGCAUGCUUAUCAAUCCAGGUCCGACUUCUGUUCCACCAGUCUACUUCAAAAUGUUAGACAUCCAACAGUUACAGAUGUUCACGCUGCUUACUUCCUACCUUACUGCUUCAUUGUUUUAUUACAAAAGCCAGCUCUGAGGCAAAAACUUGAACACAGAGCUUCACACAGCAAUGUUUGCCUCAGCAACAACGCCACAGGUAAAUACAUAGCCGGAAAAGAAAAGUUGUUUGCAAUUGUUCAUAUACCUUAGUUUCCUAUUCCUGACUCUCUUUGUUCAGAACCGGACCAUCGAUGGAAAAGGGUCCAUUUAGCUGAUGGGGAAUACAUUGUCCAUGGGAAAAACCUGGCUUCCUUUAUGUAACUUGUGUCGCUUUGGAAACAUAAUAAACACUAUGAAUUUCGUGGUGAGAACUACAUAGAUGAAAGAUGAGCUGAGUGACCAUUGUAUAUGGGGAAACAGUGUGACCCUAUACACACGCCAUGUAUAAGAUCAAUGUAAAUGAGCUGCAUGACCUGCCUUCGUACCUUUCUUUGUACAUCGUUAGUCCUUUUGGGCUAUCAUGCUACCAUGACUCAAGUAUAAACCAUUAUGUAUAAAGAUACUAUCUAAGUAUCCAUUUACAUGGU